UACGUAGGGGGCAAGCGUUGUCCGGAUUUAUUGGGCGUAAAGAGCGUGUAGGCGGCCAGGUAGGUCUGCUGUGAAAACUCGAGGCUCAACCUCGAGACGUCGGCGGAAACCAUCUGGCUAGAGUCCGGAAGAGGAGAGUGGAAUUCCUGGUGUAGCAGUGAAAUGCGCAGAUAUCAGGAAGAACACCAAUGGCGAAGGCAGCUCUCUGGGACGGUACUGACGCUGAGACGCGAAAGCGUGGGGAGCGAACAGG
rnacentral:rRNA from 1 species